UACGGAGGGUGCAAGCGUUAUCCGGAUUUACUGGGUUUAAAGGGUGCGUAGGUGGGCAGGUAAGUCAGUGGUGAAAUCUCCGAGCUUAACUCGGAAACUGCCAUUGAUACUAUCUGUCUUGAAUUAUCUGGAGGUGAGCGGAAUAUGUCAUGUAGCGGUGAAAUGCUUAGAUAUGACAUAGAACACCAAUUGCGAAGGCAGCUCACUACGGAUAUAUUGACACUUGAGGCACGAAAAGCGUGGGGGAUCAAAACAGGG
rnacentral:rRNA from 1 species